rnacentral:tRNA from 1 species
UAGAAUGUAGCUAAAAAGAACAGCAUCUCCCUUACACCGAGAAGACACCCGUGCAAAUCGAGUCAUUCUAA